rnacentral:rRNA from 1 species
AGUGGGGGAUAACGUACCGAAAGGUACGCUAAUACCGCAUAUGCCCUGAGGGGGAAAGGGGGGGAUCGUAAGACCUCUCGCUUUCGGAGUGGCCGAUAUCGGAUUAGCUAGUAGGUGAGGUAAAGGCUCACCUAGGCGACGAUCCGUAGCUGGUCUGAGAGGACGACCAGCCACACUGGGACUGAGACACGGCCCAGACUCCUACGGGAGGCAGCAGUGGGGAAUUUUGGACAAUGGGCGCAAGCCUGAUCCAGCCAUGCCGCGUGAGUGAAGAAGGCCUUCGGGUUGUAAAGCUCUUUCAGCUGGAAAGAAAUCGUAUCUACUAAUACUAGGUGCGGAUGACGGUACCAGCAGAAGAAGCACCGGCUAACUACGUGCCAGCAGCCGCGGUAAUACGUAGGGUGCGAGCGUUAAUCGGAAUUACUGGGCGUAAAGCGUGCGCAGGCGGCUUUUUAAGCCAGAUGUGAAAUCCCCGGGCUUAACCUGGGAACUGCAUUUGGAACUGGAAGGCUAGAGUGUAGCAGAGGGGGGUAGAAUUCCA